UGGAUCUUAGUGGCGAACGGGUGAGUAACGCGUAGGCAAUCUGCCUUCUAGAUGGGGACAACAUCCCGAAAGGGGUGCUAAUACCGAAUGUUGUAGUUGGUUCGCAUGGACUAGCUACUAAAGGUGGCCUCUGAAUAUGCUACCGCUAGAAGAUGAGCCUGCGUCUGAUUAGCUAGUUGGAGGGGUAACGGCCCACCAAGGCUUCGAUCAGUAGCCGGUCUGAGAGGAUGAACGGCCACACUGGGACUGAGACACGGCCCAGACUCCUACGGGAGGCAGCAGUGGGGAAUCUUCCGCAAUGGACGAAAGUCUGACGGAGCAACGCCGCGUGAGUGAAGAAGGUUUUCGGAUCGUAAAGCUCUUUCGUUAGGGACGAACGUGCUCUUUGUGAAUAAUGAGGAGUAAUGACGGUACCUAAAUAAGAAGCCACGGCUAACUACGUGCCAGCAGCCGCGGUAAUACGUA
rnacentral:rRNA from 1 species